rnacentral:rRNA from 1 species
GAGGUGAGUAUCGUGACCAACCUGCCCCAUGCUCCAGAAUAGCUCUUGGAAACGGGUGGUAAUGCUGGAUGCUCCAACUUGACGCAUGUCUUGUUGGGAAAGUGUUUAGUGGCAUGGGAUGGGGUCGCGUCCUAUCAGCUUGUAGGCGGGGUAAUGGCCCACCUAGGCUUCGACGGGUAGCCGGCCUGAGAGGGCGGACGGCCACAUUGGGACUGAGACACGGCCCAAACUCCUACGGGAGGCAGCAGCG